CAGCCGCCGCGGGAAAACGUAGGUGGCAAGCGUUGUCCGGAAUUAUUGGGCGUAAAGGGCUCGCAGGCGGUUUCUUAAGUCUGAUGUGAAAGCUCCCGGCUCAACCGGGGAGGGUCAUUGGAAACUGGGAAACUUGAGUGCAGAAGAGGAGAGUGGAAUUCCACGUGUAGCGGUGAAAUGCGUAGAGAUGUGGAGGAACACCAGUGGCGAAGGCGACUCUCUGGUCUGUAACUGACGCUGAGGAGCGAAAGCGUGGGGAGCGAACAGGAUUAGAUACCCCUGUAGUCCCUGUCUCUUAUAC
rnacentral:rRNA from 1 species